rnacentral:rRNA from 1 species
AGAAUCAACGCUGGCGGCGUGCCUAACACAUGCAAGUCGAACGAGAAAGUGGAGCAAUCCAUGAGUAAAGUGGCGCACGGGUGAGUAACACGUGACUAACCUACCUUUUAGUGGGGGAUAACCUAGGGAAACCUGGGCUAAUACCGCAUAAUACCUACGGGUCAAAGCAGCAAUGCGCUGAAAGAGGGGGUCGCGGUCGAUUAGUUAGUUGGCAGGGUAAUGGCCUACCAAGACUGUGAUCGAUAUCCGGCCUGAGAGGGCGCACGGACACACUGGAACUGAAACACGGUCCAGACUCCUACGGGAGGCAGCAGUGGGGAAUUUUGCGCAAUGGGGGAAACCCUGACGCAGCAACGCCGCGUGGAGGAUGAAGUCCCUUGGGACGUAAACUCCUUUCGAUCGGGACGAUAAUGACGGUACCGGAAGAAGAGCCCGGCUAACUUCGCGCCAGCAGCCGC